CAGGAGUUACGCAUGCGUGGAGAAGAAAGGAGAUGUGAGCAGGGCAGGCAUGCAGCCUUUGGAGAACUGCCAGUUGCUGCCAUGGAGAAUGAAGAGGGCACGUUACCCUCUGGGGCUGAGCCUCCCCUGGGCUCAUGCCUUGGUUUGGGAUGCCCCUCGGUGCAAGGCCUGAGGUGCUGAGCGAGUGCCAGCGAACAGAACAGGGAGCUGCAGUGGGACAGAGACGAGAGCAUUUGCUUGGAAGCGUUCUGCUGCUUUCCUGCCAGGUGUUUCUAAGAGCAUCCCCUGAACUGCCUGCAUUCCUGCUGCAGAUUAGAAGCACGUGGAGAUGGAGGAUAAAAGGGGCGUUAGCAAUUAGCUCUGGUGAUGCCUUCAGCUGCUGAAAAAGUUGCACUAGCGAAGAACUAUUAAUUGAAAUCCCCGGUUCAUACAGAGCUGUCAGUAAUGAAUGCAUAAUGGAGAAAGUCCAUUUAAUUUUUAAUUAUCACCGUCUCCCUCCAAACAAAUACAACGCGUUAAAUCUUCCUGUCACCUUCAGCCACGCAAAGGAUGUUUGAUGGAAGUCUUCAUUAACCCCAGGUCUGCUCAGGGCAUCCUGCCAGGCCAUUAGCUAGUUAGUUACAAUAGCAAUGACUGGCACUUGGCAUGAGAAAGCCCGGGUGGCCCUCGCCAGGUCCAGAACGUGGCAGGAAUUAACUCUGUGUGAUCAUUGCAGGAGGAGGCUGAAAUCCCUUGGCUGAGCUUUCUGAGCUGGCGGGGUCUGGAGCACAUCGUGCAUCUGAUUGGGGGCUGUGGGAGCUCAUGGAGACCCCGUUAAGUCUCAGUUCCCAGCUGAAAUCCUGGUUGGUUUGGGGGCCCCUUCCAAACAUGACCUCCGGGGGACUCCUGGCAGGUCUGCCAAAGCAGCAGCACAGUCUGUCUUCCAUAGAUUGAGGAGUAUGGAUGUGUUUAUGCUCCAGUCUGAGCAGCGGGACGUGCACUGAAUGAAGUACUUAAGUCCUGAAGGAGAGUACUGACACAGUGGCCUGAAUUCCAGCCUGUGCUAUGGGGUUUGGACGUGGAGCAUAUUUAAUGACCCUAUUUAGGAUUUGACCAAGGAUCUACUGGAAGCCAGCUUGAGAAGAAACUGCCAUGGGCUUUUGGUGAACCAUAGCCGGCCUGGGAUUCCCAUUUCAGCUAAAAGCACAAGGCCUGUUCUUGGUCGGGUUAAUCCAGGUGGAAUCAUCUUGCUAAUGACCAGUGCUGUCGGAGGCUGCAUUCUGCUUUACAGGUGAUUUAAAUCAGAACCGAUUCUCCCAGAUUUGGAUGAAGUUAACAAUGUGAAGCUGAUGGAAGCUGGGUGAAAAAUCAGACCACGAUUAUCCGCUGAAAGCAUGAAUAGAUGCAAGCAAGCAGCUCUGACUUCCCGGGGGCAUUGGCUCAUGGGGAGCUGCUGGAACGUCGUGCUUGGGAAGGGUCUGAGGUGAGGGUUUACAGCUCUAAAAAGUCACCUUUCAACGCCUGUCCCAGACGUGUCCUUACAUUUACUAUUUCUGGCAUCUCACUCUCAAAUGAGUUUGCCUACAGACAGCCUUCUGGGGAUUCAAUUAAACUCUCAAAUAAAAUAAACGCUAUCCCUUAGUAAGGGCUUGAAUGCUAAGCAGAGCCAUUAUUUGAACGAAAACGGGGCUGUAAGUUUCAGUGUUGUGUCCUCUGUUUUCAUCAGCUGGGGGUCAGAAACAAGUGAAGAUGGGAAAGCCCUGUUCAUUAACUCAGUACAUCCACCCUCAGAGCUUCUCUGCUGCUUUGAAGUGAGCAAAACACCUAUAAGCAUUUUGUUUGGCAGCACUCCUGCAAGUCAGUGACUCAGGGUGAAGUCACUGCAACAGCUCCUGUUCUUUCUCAGCUGAUAAACCCCCUGGAUAUGUAUUGCAUGGGCAGUGCAGUGACUCUCAGCCCUGGGCUCUGGUGUCAUUUACCUGUUGAGUGACCUGAGGCAAGUUCACAUCUUUGUUGUUGUCUAAUUCCAGUACUUGCUUGGUGUGAAGUGAUCUACAGGUCAUCCUGUGGAUGAAGUCUCAGUUCUUAGAAUCUUUAGUCCAGACUUCUUUAUUUUGGCUAUGGAGAAGGGCAUGCCUGGGCAUGUACGGAAAUUGGGUGAGCUGCUGCCACAGGGAAUUGUGGCCAGUCUGCAAUGGAGGAAUGUGGCCAGUGGAAGGAUCCCAAAAUUGAGAUCUCACACCAGAAACGUUUGGCGCACCAGGUCCAGAUCUUGGGCAAGAUGUUCCCUGAGAUGUGUUUGACAAUUGCAGUGCAGCUGCAGCUUAUGUGAAGUUUCUUCUGAACCUUAUCAUAAAUUCCAGUCUGCUGCAAUUUCUGGUUGAUUCCAUCUCACCUGAAGCUUGCUUUGCAGCUGAUCUGCAGGCACCAAUACAGGCCAGAAACAGUGGCCACUCUUUGAAGGCUGCCGGCAGCGUAAGCUGGAGUGCAGGAGUCAUCCUUCUGCUCUGCAGAGCACUGGGAGACUUCAGCUCUUGUUUGGGGCACUGAACUCUGAGAGUGAUGGAAUCCAAUUAACAGAGAAAACUGCAGAGAAGACUGAUGAAAUGAUCAAGAGGUCUGGAAAACUGUGGCCAACAGAGUAGAGGGAAAUAAUUGGAUUGUGUAGCUUAAAGAGAAAACUAAGUGAUAAUAAUCUGAGUGGAUAAAAGGUGGCUGCAGGAAGGGAGUGGUGCCUUCUUCACAUCUCCUGCAGCUAAGAAAUAGCAGGUGCAGUUUGCAACGAGGAAGAUCCAAAUUAAGUAUAAGGCAAACCUUUUCCAUGGCUUUUAUUGCCUCUUCCAGCAAAGGCAAAGGAAUGAAGACUUCAGGUUAAACAAACGUGUAGCAGGAAUGAUGUCCAGAGCUCCCGCUCCCAUGAAACAGGAGGCUUAACUCCAUAAAUAACACAGAUCGUUUCUCUUUUUCAGUGAUCCUAAGUACACAGGGGCUUAUUGAAACCCAGACAUAGCUGGCCAUCCACAUGCAUGCACUUUGUUCUCUUCCAAAUACUUGCAUACAAAUGAUGCUAGAAGAUAGCAGACCUUCGUGAGGUCUCCCUGUCAGGUCCUCCAAGGUGAUUUGACCUCCUUAAUUUGAGCUCUUCUUGUAAUUAGCACAGCUGUGCUGUUCUUAAGGUUUUGGCACCGUGCAGCCAAUUGCAGUCUUAGCAGCUCUCUUAUUGUUAAGAUGCUAUUUUUUUAUUUAUAUCUCUUCGUCUAAGAGAAGCUACGAUAAAAAGCUGCAGAGAUUUUUAAGCCGGCUUUGCUGCUUGUUCCAGCUGCAUGCAGCCUGGGGUGCACCCAUUGCUCUGCGUGACAGCUGGAUGGGAACUGUUGAAUCAGGGCCUCAACCUCUGAUUGACCACCUGAGCAAGCACUGAGUCAGGCACGGAGCACAGGUGAAGGCAAUCCACCUGUGAUUGGAAGGGCUGGAGCCAGGCUGCACCUCUCCUAGACCCCAUUUAAGGGCUGACUGCCACCAAGGAAGGAUCUGUUCCUGGAGAUUGAUCCUCGUGGAGUUGUUGUGAGCCUACAAUGCUGGUGGAUUGAUGAGCUCCUGAGCCAGCCAAAGACAUCCCAGGUCUGAGGCGAGCAAGGCAAGAGCUCCAUCCCUGUUGUGUCAGGCCAGAUGGAAGCAGUACUGGGCCAACACUUGCCAUGAAGUACGAAUUUGUUUCUUUCUUGAUGCCAAGGAACACUGAUACUAAAUGGAAGGAGGGGAAGAAAAGAGCACACACCUACAAACUGAAAGAGGAGCGGUUAGCUACCUUCUUGCAUGUGCUGGCUCUCUUUGAACACCUCCAUCACCACCUAAGGGAGAAUGUGGAGAGGUGCUUUGUCCACUGCAAUCUGUUCCUGGAUGGGACGACACUUGGAUGACUGGAGCAUGCCGGAGCCAGGUGAAUGAUGCCCAGGGCUUCCCAGGCUUGGAGCUGUUGCCAGCUGUUGGGUUGCUGCUCUUGGAUCCCUGUACCUGCACCUGCCUGGUUGCUGCUGGGAGGAGAUGUGCCUUGCUCAGAGAGCAGGUGAUGGCAGCUCAAGGCAAAGUACAACAGCGUAGAACCAACAAAAAAUGAGCAGGUUGAGACCUAUGUUGUGCAGGCAGGAUGCAGGAGGAGGCCAUCUGUGGGAGCAGUGGGACACGUGUCAUCCCAGCAAGGCAGCAAGACAGAAUCUUCUUCCUGCAAAACCCAGCAAACACCAGCGUAGAGAAAGGAAACCUCAGUCUUGAAGCAGAAGAUAAGGAGCAGAAUGACCUUGCAUCUUCCAUCCAUACACCUGAGGUUAACAGUCGAGGAACCUGAGGCCAGGUGGGAUGAGAGCGCACAGGGUUGGUGCCCGUGGCACUGCUGGACUCGGAGCUGCAGAACCACCAUGUCCUCUCUCCUUAUCAUCCUCCACAUGCUCCUUUUUGGGUAUUUUGCAGCACUUUGAGGCUGGGAGAAGUGGUGCAGCAGCAAUGACAACCAGGACAUUGUCCCCUUGGGACAUGCAUUGAGCGAGACCCGGCUGCCUGCCUUAGCCCUUGAAAGGAAGGGGUGAAGGAAAAUGGGAAAAGGAGAAGGUGGGAAGGAGAACGAGAGAGAAAAAUGAAUUGCUUAAAACUUCUAUUACUCUUCAUUACCUUCUGCUUUAUAAAUUCGAAGUCAAACCUGGGGGCUCCAGACCCCGAAAGAAUGGAAGGGAAACGUUCCCUGCCUGCCCCGCCAACCAGCUCGUUAAACUCCAGCCCUCCUGCUGCUCUCCAGUGAUUUAUGGAGAAUCAAAGCCAAAGCCCCACUUGUCUGUAGAUGGGAUGCUUGGAUUCGAGGUGUUGUUUCAAAGAAAAGUGAUGGAUCAGAACCUGGAGACCAGGUCCAGCCCAGUCCCCAGCAGCAGCCCUGACCUCUUCUCCACCACCUCCAUCCUCUGCAGGUCCCUCAACCUACUCAGCACCUUAUUUUGAAGGGAAGGAGGCUCUUAUCUGACCCGCGCUUCACAUUUCAAGGCCGCCACGAGCCUUGGGCUCAUAUUUUUCACACGUCCUAAAACAUCAUCCCUCCCCCGGCACAAACGUGCAUACAUUCCUUAUGGUCUGCUUCCCCUCAGGGCCCCACAGGCCUGAAGAGAUGAUAAAAUUUCUGUAAAGUAGGUGUUUGAGGCAUUUCCUAGCAGUUCGUGACCCCGCUGAAACCCCUGCGAGGAACGCAGUAGGAUGCUUCACAUAACUCUGAAAAAGGAUGUUUUGGAGCUAAUUGCUUCCAAACCAUCCAAGUGAUGAGAAAUCCAGUGCUACCAGCAGCUCAUUUCCUUUGCUGUUUAAAUACAACACCCUGCUCUGGGCUGGGCUGUCCUGGCCCAGGAUCUGGGCACUGCUGCUCACACUGCUCCUGCUGUGCCGUGAAGCUCUCGGUAGGACCAUGUCUCCUCCCCGCAGGUGUAAGGAUGCCAUCAGCCAGCUAUUACCAACUCUUGGCCAAAUUAAGGAGAUCAUGCUCCUUGACUUGACCUCUGAAAUGUGCGAUUUCCCAUUCAUUAGUCUUUUUCUGACUCUUCCUUGAACCUUCCCCCCCACCCUCCAAUAUUUCCAUGUCCAUUUUGAAGCACAGAGGCAUCACAGCCUUCCAGUGCAAAACUGUUCGCAGGCAUUGCUUGAUGACCUCCAUCUCCACAGAGCUCUCCUGAGUCACCAGUUACCCAUUCUCCAGCCUUCUAAGGGCUAGAUGGGAAUCCCUCACCCAACUUUCAGCUGGCCUGUGUUAAAUGUGAUGAAUGGGCUGACAUUUGACCAUAUAAAAAUACCAUGUUUACUUGACCCAGGGCUGCCAAGCAAGCCUGAGGCUCCACAUCAUUAGCUGGGGCUCUGCAAGAGUCACUUCUCUUCCCCUUUCUUUGUGUCCCUUUGAAAAUUUUUCAAUGAGGAUUUAAUGGAUUCUUCUCCUUUUCUUCCCCGAACCAUUGCUGGAGACAUUACAUGGGACAGGGUCAGGACCAGCCAUUUUGGGUCUCCUCAAGAAACAAGGCUGUUUGAUAUCAGUUCUUUCAGGACUCCGUUUAGAAAGCUAAUUAAAAACGCCAGCCAUUUAAUGUGCACAAUGUUGAUUUUGGAUGGCUCCUCUUCAUCCAUUACAACAGCCCGUGAUGCAAAGCCAAGCACUUUUUAGAAGUUUGACCAGUUUAGGAAUAAGCGUAAGGCCAGUGACAGCUGGCCUCCAGGAGACAGAUGGGCUCUGAGAGCAGGAGGAAUUACUGCGGCCAGGAGUCCAACCUCCUGAGUGACACAGGCUAUAAAAUGGCAUCCAUUAGGCUCCUUUGAAAAUCCCAAUGAUAAAUCUUCCUGGUCCAAUCCUUUCCCUCCACAGCUCCCCUGGAAGAAGUAAGGUUGCUCAGGGUGCUCAAUAGGAUGCUGGUAGGGCCAGCCUGGCUCUGGCCGUAUUCAGAUCUCUCCUACUGGUGCAGCAAACUCCCAAAAGCAUUCAUAGUUUCCAUGCUGCUAAUUUUAGGGCUUUGCUUUCCAGCACCCACAGACUUGGAGACACAGCCUGCUGCCUCGCUGCAGCUUACAUGUUUUCUAAUGGCCCCAACCCAGAGAUUUACACUAAGCCAACUCAUUUUGAAACCCUUCCAUAAAAAUGCCUUCUGCAAACAGAUUUGUUUCAUUAUCGUUGAGCUCGAAAGUGCCUGAAGUAACAAACAACUUCAAACUCCUUCAAAUUUAUCCUGGCACCGGGCUUGCACUUCAUUUAGAUGCUAUGUACCUGGGUGCGUGCCCUGUGGGGGACAGGCAGGAGAGGGACGGAUGGAGCUCUGUGCAAUGUAUCAGUGAUUAUGGUGCAAUAAAUAUUGGAUGGAGGAUCUAUGAUAACAUCUAUUACAGCUUUAUGAAAUAUUGAUAGCGUCUGAAUACAUAUUGCCUCCUGAACAGCUCGUUCCGGAGAUGUUUAAUGAAAGACAUCUGUCGUUUUAUCCUUGAAUCUACAUGGAGGCAAAAUUUAGUCUCCAUCCCCACUGUAAUCUCCGUGAGGCUUUCCAGAUCUGCGAGGAAGUGGCAUGAAAUGCUCAGGCUCACCUAUAUGGAUGGGUCUGUUUUAUGCACACACAGUCUUCCAUUUUGGGAAGAAGUUAAUGUUGUGCCUUUCUAGAAACAACCUCUUUGCAGACAGCUGGCUUUAGCAGGACCAACUUAAGGCUGCCAUGGCCAAACAGUGGGAGCAAAUGGGGCUCCCAGGAAAACCAGCUCAUCCGUCAGGCAUUCAUCCCUGGCUGUGCACGUAACCCUGCACACAGCACACACCCUGCGUGAACCCAACGCGCUGAUCCCUGACACAUGUUCACCCCAGAUGCCCAAUGUAAUCCCAAAUUAAAGACAUAUGGUGUUACUUCUCACCUCACAAGGUCUCCCCAGGCGUGCACAUGCAUGCAUACACACCAGCCCUCCACACCACUGAUCAUUUCAGUCUUUAUUCACUUUCCUCCUAACACCGCAAAGCCCACCCUGCUCAGGUCCUCCCAGCAUAGGAAACUGAAGCACGUGAUCUCCAGACAGAAGGAGCUAUCGCCUCCUUCACAUCCAAACCCAGAUUUACCAUCAUCCACCACCAUCUGGAGCAGCAGCUCUCGGCUCACAUGCUGUGCUUUGUCCCCAUCUGGCCUCACCAAGGGCAGUGUUCACCUCCAGGACCCAUUUGCUUGCUCUGUGGAUGGAAACACGUUUCUGCCUUUCUUUCCCACAGCCUCAGGUGAUGGGAAAGCCCUCCCAGGCUUGAGCCAACAUCUUAGAAUCGUGAAAUCAUUUGGGUUUGGAAAAGACCUUCAAGAUCACCGAGUCCAACCACCAACUUGCCCAAGGCCAUGGCCAACCCCUUGCGGUAAAGUGGCACAACAAAAUCUUUCUGGUUACCAGGCAUCACGUGGCUUCGUUCUCACACUGAUAAUUCUAAUUAUUCACAGCUCUGCACUGCUAAAGAAGACAGAGAAGGUAGGGGCAUCAACACACAGCCUCUCCUCUCCCCUGGGCAGAGCCUGCAAAGCUGAUCUGAGCCCACGUAAACCCCAGGCUGUAUCUGCAGGCCGCCUCCACAGACCUGCCUCUCACCCUGGCCCUGCUCCCACGCACUCACCUCGCAUAAAGCCACGCACCUGUGGUCUGAACUAGAAAGGAUGAACUUUUCCAGCCUGAGGGCUGACAAGCUGAGCCUCCUCAAUUGCCUCAGCAAGAAUGAGAAUCUCAGCAUCACCUUAUUUCCCAGUUUCACUGUGCUCAUAAAAUGCUUCUGCUGAACCAUGGGGCAUUCAAGACAACAUAAGAAAGAGAAAGCAGAAAUGACUGUGAGACCUCAGACGCAUGUUUUCUGCAGAUCAAUAGCCGCUUACUAGCAACACUUCCCCGGGAACAUCUUCCCCUCCUAUGAACUAUGUCUGAUCCACCCAGCCCAGCCACGGAGGAGUAAUCCAACACCACCACCCCCAUUUGUUACCACUUAGGAGAGUCUACUGUACUCGCAACAACAACACGUGGCCCUCCUCUGCUCUGAAUUAAUGAUGGGUGCGAUUGUGUUUCCUCUCUCAGCAGGAGGAAAACCAGCACCCGAGCCAGCCCUGUGCUCCAUGCAUCUCCUUCACCAGGCCUGGGGAGAAGCACGGAGCUCACUCCAUGCUGGAACGAAUUGCAGCCUGGAGCAGGUCUUAAAGAAAGGCAUGCAGAAAUUCAGGUUUGACACUGAAUUCAAAGGGAUGGGUGCUGCAGAGAAGCAGAGUGCAACCAGGAUGGAGUCAGUGGCCCACCACGCACAGAAGACUGAAGUAUUGAUCCUAAUUAUUACUGAACCCAAAUUAAGACAAAAUCCCUGUCCAUUUGCUGAAUGCAGUUCAUACUAUUCCAAAAGGCCACACUAAGCCCCAGCUCACAUUGGAUUUUCACAGCCCAAGCCCAGUGCUGGGCACUCCCAUGGCUCAGGGUAGGAGGGCUCAGUCUGCCCAGGCAUCUCCUCAGCCCCACACCGAUGUGUUGGUACCUAGAUCUAGAGAGUUAGAUAACACAACACAGCAUCUUCAGAUUCACGGUAAUGUGUUGUUUAAGGAGGCCAAAACAUCAAGGGGGACCAGGCAGGACCAGGACCCUCAAAUCCCCAACUUCACUCCCCCCUCCCCCUCCACCAUCCUCUGAAACCAGGACCGCAAAUUGAGCUUAGCCUCUUCCUCCCCCCUCUACUCACACCCUCACUCCUUGAAUUAAGAGGAAAGAAAAUGAACGCUGCAUGCUGCAUCCUGCAACUGAGGCACUGUGCAGCACCAUCCCCAGUGGAUGCAGUCCUAUGGAGACUACAAGAAGUCCCAGGGGGGCAUCAGCAGCCGUGGCACAGCAUCCGCAGCACAGCGGAGUACCACUGCUCGCUCUCCAGCCCUAUUUCUGUGUUCCAUGCCAGUUGGCACUGCUGAUUCUGUGGUGCUCUGGAGUACCCUUAUCUCUCCAGGAGAGGCUUUCACCGCAGCCCUUGAGCACUAGGAAAUGGAGAUACUCAACUGCUCUGUACAUCAAUCAGAGGGGGAGGCUGGGAAGGGGAACAGCGUGUCCCCGCCUGUCGCUCCAUGUAAGCUCUGCCCUUCACUGCUGACAGCAGAUUAAUUCCCAGCCAAAGCACAACACCCUCCUGAUGGAGAGGGGAAGCCUUCAAAAAGCAAAGCCUCCCACCUGUGAGUGCCCUGAAGUGGGGGGUGCAGCUAACAGGCAGCACAGGAGUCCCCAGGACGGAGAGUGCUUGGACAACACUGUCCAUUAGUACCUGGGUAUGGGUGGUGCUGCAAACAGAUUUUGCCAGGAAGCCAGUAGUGCCAUCCCCACAGUGCAGCAGGUCUGGGAAUUUGGGGCAUCUGGAGAUGGUCACAGUGCAAUGACAACAUGGUUGCGUUAGGGACCACCCCUUUCCCCCCUAGCUCUGUGGCUGGAGGCUGCGAGUGGGCUCCCACCAGCUCCUGCACCCACAGGGAAGCUUUUCCCCAGGCUGCUCAGAUGAGAGCCCAGGGAAAGGGGGAACUGUCUGUCUGUGCCCUGGGCAAGCUGGGCUGCAAUUUCCCUCCUCCUGCAGCCCACGGCACCAGCUGCCCUCCCAGGGGCUGCUCUCCUCCUGGCAUGCUGUGAGUCACGUCUCUGAUGUCACCUCUCCACGUCACUGGAGCUUGGAAAUGGAUUUAAUGAGCCCGUGUUUUCUUCAGCUAAGAAAAACCUCAAAGAGGCUUAUGCUCGAGCACCCUGAGGAGCCAGCAGGGCUCUCUGCAGCUGCCACAGUCCCCACAGGAGGACAGAUAGCUGCACAGUGCUCCAAAGCAGGGCGGUCAGCACCAAAAGCAGAGCGCCAGACAUGCAGGGGACAACACAUCACAGAGAUGGGAGGAUGUUUGUCCACAAUGCGCCCUUCCACGUUACCACCCUCCUCGUGGGACGUGGAGGUGAUGCCCUGCAAUGCCUCACGAUGCUCAGGGGGAGGGGGCAGCGCAGUAGUGGCACCGUGCCCACACUCAGAGGACCCAGCAGCAUCUCUGAGGGCUGCCACACAAUAAGCUGAGUUGGUGGCCAUUGCUCCUCAUGUUCUCCCACUCCCAGACACACGUGCUGGACCCAUCCCCACAAACAUCUAUCUUAGGCCGCCCAGCAGCUUUUUUAACACCAGUCACAUUGGGGAUGUGAAUCCUGAUUCACAGCAGUAUAGAUUGAAAUGUGAGCCUGUGGUGUUUUCAGAAGAACAAGUCCUUGUAAAGCAGAAGGGAACAAAAUUCAUUAUCAAAAUCAAGGGAAACGAGGAACAUUUGUUCUCUUUUAUGAAGGUCACUAGGAAAGGAAGCCCUACAUGGGGUCCCUGAAAAGCCAGUAGUGUAUGCAGUCAGCAGACAGAGGGCAUCUUCUGUUAAUGAAGGUGCCUCACCAAAAACACAGGCAUCAUAUAAAUUAUCAGAUAAUGAAAUUCCAGUUAAUUUGCUGCCUGGUCAGCUACAGCCCUCCUGCCAUGCUCCUGAGCCCAGCCAAUAACAUUAAGAAAGAAUUACCUUGCUACUAGGGCAGCUGGUGGAAAACCACCUCCUGAUUACUCAAUUCAGAAAACAAUAUCUUCUCCAGGACAAGAGGGGUGGAUGCUGCAGCCCCAUGGCCCUCCACACUGGGUUGACUACACAGGGACAUGUUCCCAACUGAUUCUUGCAGCUCUUUACCUUUUAGCAGCUUUGCUACCAGGAUCUCUUGAUGGGAUCCUUUUGCCCAGUUACUCAUGGGCAUCCCACCUCACCCACAGCUCCCUGUUCUCUCCUGGGUUUGUGUCUCCUUACCAGAACCCAGAAGAGCAACCAGAGAACAAGGAGAUGGCAUCCACCCCCUUUGCUCAAGUAAGUUCUUGAUCCCAUGGGUAGAAAGAGACUUAAGAAGGGGAAGUUUGGGGGAACCUUCCCCUUCUAAAUAGGCUGUAGUGGUUGAAAGCAAAGACAAGGCUCAGGAAGAGGUCCUACAUCCUCAACAUGGAGUGGGUUUCAAGUACAAACUGCAUUAUAGCUCCUUCCAUUCCCCUUCUCCAUCUGCUGCUCCAAACUAUCAGAGCACCAAGAAUUCAGCAUGCGCCAUGUAAUUUUAAAGCCAUUAUGUAAGCUGCUCUCCCCUCCCCACCUCUCAAUGUCUCCAAUUGGUGUGUCAGAAUGUAAUUAGCUUUUGAUGGGAUGUUAAGAUUUCUUGAGCUCCCGUGGAGAGGUAGCAUGGGGAGAGGCGAGGCAGCGGAUUGUGAUUGUCACUCCCCACAUAAGUGCUCGAAGACCCUGGAAGACUCAUUUACAAAAAUGUAAAAUAAAUAAAUAAAUAAACCUAAAAGCAGCAGACCCAGUAGGCUUCAGCUUAAUUGACUGAAUUUGUGGGUUAUUUAUUUAUUUUUUACCUCCGCUUGGUGAGAAAUAACUCUCUCAUAGCCAACGAAGGAGCGCCAUGCUGUGGCAACGGUCAGGGCUCUAUUGCACAUCCCAGUUGGAGAGGCUGGAAGCACUGAGCUAUUGGUUCCUGCCCUUCCAAGCAGUGCCAGCUUUGCUGCUACAACCAACUGCACGAGCACUCCUCCACCAGAUUCAUUACUGAGUCCUCCAGCCCUGCACCACAAACACACCAGCCCUCCUGCCAGGGCACCCAAGAAGCAGAAAGGUUUGGGCAUGGCCAAGUGUGCUCCCACAGCCCAAAGGUAACACUUGGAAUCCAGAUCCGUGAGUGUUUCGGGGCUAACAGACCCAACUUGAGAUGCUUGUAAUCUGCCAUGGUGCUUUUACAAAAACAAGCUCCUCUUGAUGUCUUGUUGCCAGCCUCCCAGUGCCCCAUACCACAGACCAGUGCUCUCAUGGUCAUACCACACACUCAGACCUUACUUCACACCCUUUCCCCAAUAGCCGACCCACUUGGAGGUACAGAACGAGGCAGGCAAAUCCCCCAGAACAAGUUUUCCACCAUCUGGCUGGGCCUGAACUUUCACAAGAGCAUCUGCCCCAGCCAACGAGCAUUUACGUGCCUACAGAUGGUGCUCAUAUCACCGAGCAGUAUGUUUGUCUACACAUUGACCCUGGCCCGAAGCCCACUGGAGUCAUCAGAUGCUUUUCAUUAACUCCAACAGGCUGUGGAUGGCAGUUUGGUCAGUCUCCACUGGUGCAGGCAGAGGCACUCAAACGAAUCCUGCAGGAUGCUCAAACGUGUGUGCCUCCAGGUCAGCCCAUAGCAGCUUUCCCAAACACAAGCCUGCCACAGACUCCUUCCAAAUGCACGUGGCUGGAUAUAAAUACGCCUCUGUCUCUGAAUUAGGUGAUGAUGUGAAACACAGGCACAUCCAAUACAAUAAUGAGCCAUUCCCAUCAAAUGCCAAUUCAACUGGAUAAUGGGCCAUAUUGAUUGCUUCGAGGACCAGACCAAUUUCACUUGUCCUUUUAAUGAUUAUUAUGACAUUAUCUAUAUUAUUUCUGCUCAGAAAGAUUAAUUCCCCAUUCCCCACCCCAAUCACUCUGGAUGCGAGGCCAUUCAAGUCUCCAUUCUGAACAGAAGCUGAGGAGACCUCUGCAAGGACUGGACUUAAUUCACUUCUGAAGUGUUAUCAGGCAAUUGGAGCUUUUUUCUCUAAUACUGCCACUGGCAUUAAUGGAAAGAAAACAAUAAAUGUAUCUGGUCACCAAGCAGUCAGCCUCCCCUUUCGUAGCUCUACUGACAUUUCUGUUUCCAGCCCAGACAGUAAUGCAUUCCAUUUUAAUUUUAGCAAACGCUUUCUUUAUGAUCAG
ensembl:lncRNA